UUGCCAGACUCCUACGGGAGGCAGCAGUGGGGAAUAUUGGGCAAUGGGCGCAAGCCUGACCCAGCAACGCCGCGUGAGGGAAGAAGGCUUUCGGGUUGUAAACUUCUUUUGUCAGGGAAGAGUAGAAGACGGUACCUGACGAAUAAGCCACGGCUAACUACGUGCCAGCAGCCGCGGUAAUACGUAGGUGGCAAGCGUUAUCCGGAUUUAUUGGGUGUAAAGGGCGUGUAGGCGGGAGCGCAAGUCAGAUGUGAAAACUCAGGGCUCAACCCUGAGCCUGCAUUUGAAACUGUGUUUCUUGAGUGCUGGAGAGGCAAUCGGAAUUCCGUGUGUAGCGGUGAAAUGCGUAGAUAUACGGAGGAACACCAGUGGCGAAGGCGGAUUGCUGGACAGUAACUGACGCUGAGGCGCGAAAGCGUGGGGAGCAAACAGGAUUAGAUACCCCAGUA
rnacentral:rRNA from 1 species